rnacentral:misc_RNA from 1 species
AAUCAUCAACCACUCUGUUGGGUAAACCAAUGGAGUUGGAUUGGAUUUGGGCGUUUUUGUCAAUUCGCGUUGACUCGCCUUAAAAGGAUUCAGUGGAACCUAGGUCUCUUCGAAGAUCUAUACUGGUUUGACUUGGCGUAAUAAGUAUUUCGCUAAGGACAAUGUUUCGGCAUUGGCCAGAAUAGAACCCUUUGUUGUCUAGGCGUCUGCUCUCUAACCCUCAUAUUUUGAC